AAACUGCUAGGCAGGAUCAGGAUGACCCAUCUGGGUCGCUUCCGUAGCCUGUACCCGACAUGCUCCAGGAGAGAAAUCGGCCGUUUCCGCGAGCCAAGGCCCCGGACCAGCUAGGCUCGGUCGUUCGUUCCCCUCCCAUCAUCAUCCUCUCAACGCAGCCGACUCCUCGAUCUCACCCUGUGGAAAGCAACAGAUCUCAACGGCGGUCAGCGCCAAGGGGAUUCCCGUUCUUCCCCGCCCAGACCCGCGCUCUAAUUUCAUCUUCUUUCCUUUCUUCCCGAUUGGGAAUCCGGAAUCCUAGUCGACCAGUCACCAGUCCUUCAAUCUUGUCCGCUAGAUGUGCUUUUAAGCACCGGCGAAUACAGUGCAGUAACUUCUUUCCAGCUAGAUUAAUCUCUGCACUGCCGAGACACAGAAGGGGAAAGAAAUCUUCGGGGGCAAACUGAAAGCAAGCAGCGAGGGAGAGAAGAAGAGAAGGAGGAAGAAGAAUUCUUUCCGUCCACCGCCGCCGCCGGCGCGCGCCCCCGGUUCGCUGGUGGAUAAAGGGGCAGCUGAAGAGGGCCGCUGUUUUUUUCGAGGAAAAAGAGGGCCGCUUUUGAGCCGAGGGCGGGGAACGGCGGCCGCGCCAGAUCGAGCGGAGAUGCUGCCCAAUCCGCCGGAGCCGCAGCCGGCGGAGGCGACGGCGCCGGCCAAGAAGAAGAGGAACCUCCCCGGCACGCCAGAUCCGGACGCGGAGGUGAUCGCGCUGUCGCCGGGGACGCUGAUGGCCAGCAACCGCUUCGUGUGCGAGGUUUGCGGGAAGGGCUUCCAGCGGGACCAGAACCUGCAGCUGCACCGGCGCGGCCACAACCUGCCGUGGCGGCUGCGGCAGCCCGGGGGCGCGGCGCCACGCCGCCGGAGGGUGUACGUCUGCCCGGACCCGGGCUGCGUGCACCACUCGCCGGCCCGGGCGCUCGGGGACCUCACGGGCAUCAAGAAGCACUUCUGCCGCAAGCACGGCGAGAAGCGGUGGGCGUGCCCCCGCUGCGGCAAGCGAUACGCCGUCCAGGCCGACCUCAAGGCCCACGCCAAGGCCUGCGGCACCCGCGAGUACCGCUGCGGCUGCGGCACCCUCUUCACUAGGAGGGACAGUUUCACAACCCAUCGCUCUUUCUGCGGUGCCCUCGGGGAGGAAACCAGCAGAGUGCUCGCUGUUCCGGAGCAGCCUUCACCUCGGCCACCUGAUCUGGAGGAGCUUGAGCAGAAUGUGGACAAGGACAAGGAGAAUGGGGAGGAUAAUGUAGACACGGAUCAGGAGAAUGAGAACGAGGAGAAUUCGGGUGAAGAGAAGAAUGAUAAUUCCACUGUGGCUGAGGUGAACGAGCCUCGGCAUGCCGAGGAAGAGGCGGUGAUGGAGGGGUCCCAUUGCAUUCUAUCGCCGCCAUCCCCACUGCCAAAGGAGCAGCAACCAAGGGUGGAAGUGGUGCCAGAUGUGGAUGAGGCACAGGUGGUUGUGGAGCCAAUUGUGGAUGUCAAGCAAGAGGAGGAAGACAAGCCAAAUGAUGACGUUUGCUUCCAGGAAGCCUACCAAUAUGAUUGUGAUGAACUAAAGGAUUCCAACCUGCCAGAUGAUGUUGUCCCGAUGCUACCUUGUUUCCUCCCCUUGCGUUCGGAUGCCAUUGGUACAGAUGGAAGCAGCACCAGCUGUGGCACAGUCAGCAGUGCUUCCAAUUCCAUUGCACCAGCAACAACAACGACUAGCACGUUUGCUGGCCUAUUUGCAUCAGCCACAACAAGCACCACUCCCCAGAGUAGAUCGCUGCGUGAUCUUAUAGGUGUUGAUCCCACCUUCCUUUGCCUUGCGAUUGGUGCGUCCUCCUCUCUGUUCCCAGAGACAAGUGCAAGCAACGCUUGCACGUUUGCUCCACCUCCAGCACCGCACAUGUCCGCGACUGCACUCCUGCAAAAGGCUGCCGAGGUUGGAGCUUCGCAAUCAAGCUCGUCUUUCUUGAAGGGGUUUGGACUUGCAAGUUCCUCCUCAUCAACCCCAUCGAGGGAACCUCAAGGAAGGUCUAUAGAUAGCUCAACGCAAUCCCAGCUACCUCAAGGGUUCAUCGAUAACUCCACACCAUUCGAGCAAUCUCCAAGGAUAUUCAUCGAUAACUCCCUACCAUCCAAUCUACCUCAAGGAAGAUUUUUCGACAACACAAAACUAUCCAGUCUGCCAGAAGGAAAGUUCUUUGAUAACUCGCCACCAUGCAAUCUGCCUCAAGGAAUGUCCGCCAGUUACUCACCACCAUCAAAGUUACCACUGGGACAGUUCAUCGAUAACUCGUCACUACCAAAGCUGCCUCAAGAAAGGCACUUUGAUAGCUCGUCACUACGCAAGCUGCCUCAAGGAAGAUACAUUGAUAGGUUGCCACCAUCCAUGCUACCCAAAGGAAGGAACAUCGGCAGUUCACCACCAUGCAAUCUACAACAAGGAAGGUUCUUCGAUGACAGAGCACAACAGCGACACCACCAGAGUAAUCAACUAAUGGAUAUGGACCCCGAGCCAAUUCUACCUCGCAGUCCUGGCCUUGCAUACAACAGUGCAAGUCCUCGGCUGCCAGAUUUGAUGAUGGCGCAAUCACCACUCUUCGGUCCCAAGCCUGUCACUCAGGACUUUCUUGGGCUUGGCAUCAGAAGGACCAUGGGCGACUUUGCGACCAACGGUGGCCUCCCGGCAUUGAUGGUUGGAGGUGAGUUGAACGUGAAGUCUUCACAGGUGCCUCCUCCAUGGGAGGAGGCCAAGAGAAAGAGCAAUGGCCACACAAUUUGAAUGGUUCUGAACUGGCAGGCUCCUACAUUUGAGGCUUUUGCGGAAGUUCCUAAUGCUCUCUGUCCGCAUACACAAAUCUUCUGCACUAGAUUACAGGUUCUUGGCACAACAGAGGACUUGGUGAAGGAUAUUAUUGCCCGUCUUUCUAGUUAACUUCGAGAUGAGCUCAUUUUUCUUCUACAGUUUUUUAUCUGCCUCAAAAUUUUGAAAGAAAACUGAAGGAAGAACCUUGGGGACUUGAACCUAGGUGGUGGGGUUGUACAUCCUUCAGGACUUGAAUUGAACCUAAUCUAUACAGGGUAUGAGUAUGUUUUUUUUUAUAGAAGUCAUUUGUGUAAAAAUCACCUGUAAGAUCUCGAUCUAGCUGACGUGCCAGGCGAAAUUUUGAAAGUUCUUUCCUUCUUCAAACACCAAAUCAAUUUAGUUCCCUUUUUUUUUAUAGUUUUUGGAGGUUGUUCUUAAUCUAUCAAACAUCUCUCCCAAAGUUUCACUAAAAAUUCAAGUUGUGUUGGAAGAUACAGAAAAGAGAGCAUGACUGACAAGUUACACAUUUUCCAUGGAGGUACUGGAAGCAAUGAAAGAGCUGGACUACCGUGCUUCUGGAUCGGUGGUCAUCGAGAACUGUAGACUCGUGCUUUCUUCUUUGGGCCAUGUUCUAGAGAGGCUGUAAAUUUCAGGGGUUUGGAAGGCGUCUGGAUCAAUAAAUCGCGUGAGUUUAUUGUACCAGUGAUGGUGGAUGACCUAACCAUCGUUUAAUGAAGUUCUGUGAGUUUCAAAAGCUA